rnacentral:lncRNA from 1 species
GUGCAUAUUGAUGCAAGUUCCCAGAUGACAUGAAGCACUGUAACCAGUGGGCCAUUUUAGAAAAGGAGAAGCCUUAUGGGAUCCCUUGAAGCAUACUGGAAGAUGUAUUGCUUCAGCAGCCCAGCCAAGAUCCUGAAUGGGCAAAGGUGCAUGAUUCAGUCACCUAUGAUCUGGGGAGGAUUUCAGAUACAUUUUUCACAGCGUUUCUGGAUCCUUUGCUUGAGGAACUCAUACGCUCAAGAAGCCUUAGCACCAGGACUUCCUGAAUCAGCAAUUGCCAACAAAGACAUGCCUUGUAUAACAUCCUUAUGUGAGGCCUGUAAAAAGCUCAGAACAAAUAAUUAAUGUUAUACUCUUACUGAAAACCUUUGUGAAGAUGGUCAGUACUAUCGAAGACGUAAAGCCAAUAGUAAACAUGUUACUUCAGAACUGAAUUGAAAGCAGACUCUUACUUUGACCAAAAGCACUACACUUGCUUUAUGUUUAUCAGCUUCUGUGCGAUUCAGAGCGCCAAGAUAAAUGAGUUGCCUGCUGGAAGGAGGCAUUGGAGAUACUGUGUGGAGCAGCUCUGACCUCGUCAAGGCUUUAUAUGGCUCCUGGACUUGCUGACAGCUGGGGUUGCACAGGCCUUUCCUCUCUCUUCCUUGGGGAAGCCUCUCUGCAUAUUGUACAAAGCUGUCACCUAAAUCAGGCUCUGUUCCUUCUGAGCAGAAAAGUUCGGAAGAUAGCUGAAACACAGGCAAAACCCACUCAGUUUCAAGGAAGAAGUGCCUUGUCUGAGACAGAUUUCUCCUCAGUAUUUUAAACAUCCUGAGGAAUGGAUAUUUUGGAAUCUGCGUGGCUUGGAAGCAGCCAUGGCCUUAAGAAUGCUCCUUAUGUCUUUUCAUACCAAUUUAUUAAUUUCAAACUUCAAAACUGAAGAGACGCUGAUCAGAUCUUGCUGGAAACUAAGACUUUACUCUAAGGACUUCACCUCAAGAUGCAGUGCAAGGUCCUGGCACACUCAAUCCUUUCCCUCCACUCCAAGGUAUAUUUUCUUCUAUUUCUUUCACUCAUUUUCUCUCUCAGUGUUUCUUUCAUCCAGCCCUGUUGGGGGAUCACCCAUGCUCUCUGCUGGUUUUUGGCAUUGUGCUGGGGAGAGGGCAGGGAGGUGCAGGUCAAGAAAGAGGAAAAGGUGUGUAGCUCACAGAGUGUAUUGUCCUUUACUGUAUUACAUAGGCAGAUGAUCCUACUGGCCAAUGUAAAGAAGCACAGAUGAUGUGAAACAGAGUGCAAGUUUAAAGGGCUUCCUCUUCAAGGAGAGG